AACGAACGCUGGCGGCAGGCCUAACACAUGCAAGUCGAGCGGGGACUUCGGUCCUAGCGGCGGACGGGUGAGUAACGCGUGGGAACGUGCCCUUUGCUUCGGAAUAGCCCCUGGAAACGGGGAGUAAUACCGGAUGUGCCCUUUGGGGGAAAGAUUAUCGGCAAAGGAUCGGCCCGCGUUGAUUAGGUAGUUGGUGGGGUAAUGGCCUACCAAGCCGACGAUCCAUAGCUGGUUUGAGAGGAUGAUCAGCCACACUGGGACUGAGACACGGCCCAGACUCCUACGGGAGGCAGCAGUGGGGAAGUCUUAGACAAUGGGCGGCAAGCCUGAUCUAGUCAUGCCGCGUGAGCGAUGAAGGCCUUAGGGUUGUAAAGC
rnacentral:rRNA from 1 species